UACGGGGGGAGCAAGCGUUGUUCGGAUUUACUGGGCGUAAAGGGCGCGUAGGCGGUCAGCACAAGUCAGUUGUGAAAUCUCCGGGCUUAACUCGGAAAGGUCAACUGAUACUGUGCGACUAGAGUGCAGAAGGGGCAACUGGAAUUCUCGGGUGUAGCGGUGAAAUGCGUAGAUAUCGAGAGGAACACCUGCGGCGAAGGCGGGUUGCUGGGCUGACACUGACGCUGAUGCGCGAAAGCCAGGGAGCGAACGGG
rnacentral:rRNA from 1 species